UACGUAGGGGGCUAGCGUUGUCCGGAUUUAUUGGGCGUAAAGAGCGUGUAGGACGGCCUGGUAGGUCUGCUGUGAAAACUCGAGGCUCAACCUCGAGAUGUCGGCGGAAACCAUCUGGCUAGAGUCCGGAAGAGGAGAGUGGAAUUCCUGGUGUAGCGGUGAAAUGCGCAGAUAUCAGGAAGAACACCUAUGGCGAAGGCAGCUCUCUGGGACGGUACUGACGCUGAGACGCGAA
rnacentral:rRNA from 1 species